rnacentral:rRNA from 1 species
GAUGAACGCUGGCGGCGUGCCUAAUACAUGCAAGUCGAGCGAACAGAUGAGGAGCUUGCUCCUCUGACGUUAGCGGCGGACGGGUGAGUAACACGUGGAUAACCUACCUAUAAGACUGGGAUAACUUCGGGAAACCGGAGCUAAUACCGGAUAAUAUAUUGAACCGCAUGGUUCAAUAGUGAAAGACGGUUUUGCUGUCACUUAUAGAUGGAUCCGCGCCGCAUUAGCUAGUUGGUAAGGUAACGGCUUACCAAGGCGACGAUGCGUAGCCGACCUGAGAGGGUGAUCGGCCACACUGGAACUGAGACACGGUCCAGACUCCUACGGGAGGCAGCAGUCGGGAAUCUUCCGCAAUGGGCGAAAGCCUGACGGAGCAACGCCGCGUGAGUGAUGAAGGUCUUCGGAUCGUAAAACUCUGUUAUUAGGGAAGAACAAAUGUGUAAGUAACUAUGCACGUCUUGACGGUACCUAAUCAGAAAGCCACGGCUAACUACGUG